UUUUUAAAUAUAUUAUUAUUAAUAUUAUUAGUUAAAAUAAAAGAAAUAAAGUAAAAGAAACAAUGAAACAAAGAAGAAAAGAAACAGAAUAGCUAGAAAAGAAACAGAGAAAGAGACGAAAAACAGGGGAAGAAAAAGGGAAAGAAAAUAAAAAGGGGAAAUUUAGAUUUUAAAGCUUCAAGUUAAUUGCUAACAAGGAACUCGAAGCAUCGGCACACAAAGGAAAGGAGAAGGUUAUUGAGGAAUAAUCGAGUAAAUUCGGGUCGAUAGAAGUCAAAGGUCCCGGUUCAGCAUCUAGAUCAAUCCCGACUUCAGCAUAAUUUUGGUGAUGUAUAUUUCUUUUGGUAAUGUGGCAUGUACAUAGGAUGUGUAUAAAGAUUGUUAUGUUUUAAUAUAAAUGGUAAAAAAAAUGUUAGUAUUAAAAGUUUAUGAAUUAUUAUGAAAGAAGUUUAUCUAUUUUGAUUUAUUUAU